rnacentral:rRNA from 1 species
CCUACGGGAGGCAGCAGUGGGGAAUAUUGCGCAAUGGGCGAAAGCCUGACGCAGCGACGCCGCGUGAGGGAUGAAGGUUUUCGGAUCGUAAACCUCUUUCAGCAGGGAAGAACGGUCACUUUCCUAAUCAGCAGUGAAUUGACGGUACCUGCAAAGGAAGCACCGGCUAACUCCGUGCCAGCAGCCGCUGUAAUACGGAGGGUGCGAGCGUUAAUCGGAAUUACUGGGCGUAAAGCGCUCGUAGGCGGUAUGUCAAGUCAAGGGUGAAAUCCCCUGGCUCAACGUGGGAACUGCCUUUGAUACUGGCGAACUGGAGUGUGGGAGAGGAUAGUGGAAUUCCAGGUGUAGGAGUGAAAUGCGUAGAUAUCAGGAGGAACAUCAGUGGCGAAGGCGACUAACUGGCACAUAACUGACGCUGAGGAGCGAAAGCGUGGGUAGCAAACAGGAUUAGAUACCCGAGUAGUC